AGCUUGCUCUUAUGAAGUUAGCGGCGGACGGGUGAGUAACACGUGGGUAACCUGCCCAUAAGACUGGGAUAACUCCGGGAAACCGGGGCUAAUACCGGAUAACAUUUUGAACCGCAUGGUUCGAAAUUGAAAGGCGGCUUCGGCUGUCACUUAUGGAUGGACCCGCGUCGCAUUAGCUAGUUGGUGAGGUAACGGCUCACCAAGGCAACGAUGCGUAGCCAACCUGAGAGGGUGAUCGGCCACACUGGGACUGAGACACGGCCCAGACUCCUACGGGAGGCAGCAGUAGGGAAUCUUCCGCAAUGGACGAAAGUCUGACGGAGCAACGCCGCGUGAGUGAUGAAGGCUUUCGGGUCGUAAAACUCUGUUGUUAGGGAAGAACAAGUGCUAGUUGAAUAAGCUGGCACCUUGACGGUACCUAACCAGAAAGCCACGGCUAACUACGUGCCAGCAGCCGCGGUAAUACGUAGGUGGCAAGCGUUAUCCGGAAUUAUUGGGCGUAAAGCGCGCGCAGGUG
rnacentral:rRNA from 1 species